GGAAACUUGAUAUACGAGUCUUAACUCACAACUUACAUUUAUGGAUGGUGUUGAUGUGGAGAGCAAGUCUUGCUUCACAUGUGGAUGUAAGCGUAUUAUCAAGUGAGAGCAACACAAAUCACCAAGCAAGUACUUAGCACUUCUAUGGUGGAGCUACGUACUUUAGAUUGUGUAAUGUUUAAGUUAUCAUAUGCUAGUGUUUAUAAAUUUAGUUUGAUAUGAAUUUGAAUUGGUAAUGUUUGUUAGUGCAUAUACUUUUAUUGGAAUUUGUUUUGAGUUGUA